rnacentral:rRNA from 1 species
UACGUAGGGGGCUAGCGUUGUCCGGAAUCAUUGGGCGUAAAGCGCGUGUAGGCGGCCCGGUAAGUCCGCUGUGAAAGUCGGGGGGCUCAACCCUCGAAUGCCGGUGGAUACUGUCGGGCUAGAGUGCGGAAGAGGCGAGUGGAAUUCCUGGUGUAGCGGUGAAAUGCGCAGAUAUCAGGAGGAACACCUAUUGCGAAGGCAGCUCGCUGGGACGUAACUGACGCUGGAGACGCGAAAGCGUGGGGAGCAAACAGG